CAAGGAAUCUUCCGCAAUGGGGGCAACCCUGACGGAGCAACGCCGCGUGGGGGAUGACGCCCUUCGGGGUGUAAACCCCUUUUCUUCGGGAAGAAGUUCUGACGGUACCGGAGGAAGAAGGACCGGCUAACUACGUGCCAGCAGCCGCGGUAAUACGUAGGGUCCGAGCGUUGUCCGGAGUUACUGGGCGUAAAGCGCGCGCAGGCGGCGGUGCUGGCCCGGCGUGAAAGCCCCCGGCUCAACCGGGGAGGGUCGUCGGGGACCGCACCGCUUGAGGGCGGUAGGGGCUGGUGGAAUGCCUGGUGUAGUGGUGAAAUGCGUAGAGAUCAGGCGGAACACCCGUGGCGAAGGCGGCCAGCUGGGCCGUCCCUGACGCUGAGGCGCGAAGGCGUGGGGAGCGAACGGG
rnacentral:rRNA from 1 species